CCUACGGGUGGCAGCAGUGAGGAAUAUUGGUCAAUGGACGAGAGUCUGAACCAGCCAAGUAGCGUGAAGGAUGACUGCCCUAUGGGUUGUAAACUUCUUUUAUAUGGGAAUAAAAUGUUCCACGUGUGGGAUUUUGUAUGUACCAUAUGAAUAAGGAUCGGCUAACUCCGUGCCAGCAGCCGCGGUAAUACGGAGGAUCCGGGCGUUAUCCGGAUUUAUUGGGUUUAAAGGGAGCGUAGGUGGAUUGUUAAGUCAGUUGUGAAAGUUUGCGGCUCAACCGUAAAAUUGCAGUUGAAACUGGCAGUCUUGAGUACAGUAGAGGUGGGCGGAAUUCGUGGUGUAGCGGUGAAAGGCUUAGAUAUCACGAAGAACUCCGAUUGCGAAGGCAGCUCACUGGACUGCAACUGACACUGAGGCUCGAAAGUGUGGGUAUCAAACAGGAUUAGAUACCCUAGUAGUC
rnacentral:rRNA from 1 species